rnacentral:rRNA from 1 species
UGGGGAAUAUUGGACAAUGGGCGAAAGCCUGAUCCAGCCAUGCCGCGUGUGUGAAGAAGGUCUUCGGAUUGUAAAGCACUUUAAGUUGGGAGGAAGGGCAGUAAGUUAAUACCUUGCUGUUUUGACGUUACCGACAGAAUAAGCAUCGGCUAACUCUGUGCCAA